CUUUCCGAUUAUACUGGGCUAGAAGUCUCAAUAUAAUGGGGUAGAUGUCUCAAUAUACUGGGCUAGGAGUCUCAAUAUACUGGACUAGAAGUCUCAAUAUACUGGACUAGAAGUCUCAAUAUACUGGACUAGAAGUCUCACACCAAACACUUAGUCUAGAGAUACAGGUGGCGUGGGUUUCAUGUGUUAGCAAAUGCUAGUGGAAGCAAUGAAAGCAUUAGCAUUAGCAUCUUCUAAGUCAACAACUGUUUGUUUUUUUUACCAUGAGAGCUGUACAUAUUUGAAUAAACAGGGUGACAGCAACAUAUAUGUAUGCUGCUGGUUUAUAUUUAUUAUGGUCAACACUUAAUAGUUUGUCCAGACACAGUAUUAAAAACAAAACACACAGUUUCCAUUAUUUCAUUAUUGAUCAAUCAGACAUUUGCUUCCUUGUGUGGUCUAUGAAAAUAGUGACAAAUACCCAUCUCAAUUUGCUAACGCCCAAGGUCAUCAAAGUCCUUACUUUGUCUACAAUCACAUACAACGACAAAAAAACACCAAAUCCUGACAACCUAGGCAUCGGGACAAGGGAAUGGUUGACACUUUUGGCUUGAAAAAUCACAUAAGUGAUUUGUUUGUUCUCAAAAUAGUUGCAGAUUCAUUUUCUGUUGAUGGAAUAAUCGAUUUGUUUUAGCUCAAGUUUCCGGGUGUUUAUGCUCCAGCGGACACAGACAGACAAAUUAGCACAGAGGGAACAUAGUCCGGUAUCACUCUGAAGAACCACAACUGCAUACGAAGAGGAACCGGAUGUUUCCUCUGACACAGCACACUGUUUUAGUCAGGGACACUUUAAGAUGGGCACCUUAUCUAUGUAGUCGAAGCUGCAGAAUCUCAGGUUAAGAAUGCCUACGACAAUAAAUCAUCCAACCAAAACCGCCCAA